GGACCCCUGACGGUUCUCGGGCCGAAACAAAAGCGUUAAGUGCGCCGCCUGGGGAGUACGGCCGCAAGGCUAAAACUCAAAGGAAUUGACGGGGGCUCACACAAGCGGUGGAGCAUGUGGAUCAAUUCGAAGCAACGCGAAGAACCUUACCUGGGUUUGACAUGCAUGGAUGGUCGCCUUGAAAGAGGAGUGAUCUGCCCGCAAGGGUGAAACAUGUACAGGUGCUGCAUGGCUGUCGUCAGCUCGUGCUGUGAAGUGUCGGGUUAAGUCCCUUAACGAGCGAAACCCUUAUCGUUAGUUGCCAGCGGGUAAAGCCGGGAACUCUAACGAGACUGCCGGCGUUAAGCCGGAGGAAGGUGGGGAUGACGUCAAGUCAUCAUGGCCUUUAUGCCCAGGGUGUCACACGUGCUACAAUGGGGCGUACAGAGCGAAGCAAGACCGCAAGGUGGAGCAAAUCGCAGAAAACGUCCCUCAGUUCGGAUUGGGGUCUGCAACCCGACCCCAUGAAGCUGGAAUCGCUAGUAAUCGCGUAUCAGCCAUGACGCGGUGAAUGUGUUCCUGAGCCUUGUACACACCGCCCGUCAAGUCAUGGGAGCUGGGAGUUCCCGAAGUCGCCAUAAUUCGAUGGUGCCGACGGAAAGCCCGGUGACUGGGACUAAGUCGUAACAAGGUAACC
rnacentral:rRNA from 1 species